rnacentral:rRNA from 1 species
UAGGGAAUCUUCGGCAAUGGACGGAAGUCUGACCGAGCAACGCCGCGUGAGUGAAGAAGGUGUUCGGAUCGUAAAGCUCUGUUGUUAGAGAAGAACGUUGGUAGGAGUGGAAAAUCUACCAAGUGACGGUAACUAACCAGAAAGGGACGGCUAACUACGUGCCAGCAGCCGCGGUAAUACGUAGGUCCCGAGCGUUUUCCGGAUUUAUUGGGCGUAAAGCGAGCGCAGGCGGUUUUUUAAGUCUGAAGUUAAAGGCAGUGGCUUAACCAUUGUACGCUUUGGAGACUAGAGGAGUUGAGUGCAGAAGGGGAGAGUGGAAUUCGAUGUGUAGCGGUGAAAUGCGUAGAUAUAAGGAGGACCACCGGUGGCGAAAGCGGGUCUCUGGUAGGUAACUGACGCUGAGGGUAGAAAGCGUGGGGGGCAAGCAGG